rnacentral:rRNA from 1 species
UACGUAGGUGGCAAGCGUUGUCCGGAGUUAUUGGGCGUAAAGCGCGCGCAGGCGGUGCGGUAAGUCUCUGGUGAAAGCGCUCGGCUUAACUGGGCGAGGGCCGGGGAGACUGCCACGCUGGAGGGGAGCAGAGGCGAGUGGAAUUCCGGGUGUAGCGGUGGAAUGCGUAGAGAUCCGGAAGAACGACCGGUGGCGAAGGCGGUUAGCUGGGCAGU